rnacentral:rRNA from 1 species
UACGUAGGUGGCAAGCGUUGUCCGGAUUUACUGGGCGUAAAGAGCGCGCAGGCGGUCCGAUCAGUCGAAUGUGAAAGCGCCCGGCUCAACCGGGAAGGGUUAUGCCAGACUGACGAGCUAGAGAGCGAGAGCGGGACGUGGAAUUCCGGGUGUAGUGGUGAAAUGCGCAGAUAUCAGGAGGAACACCGAUGGCGAAGGCAGGUCUCUGGGCCGAUACUGACGCUGAGGAGCGAAAGCGUGGGGAGCGAACAGG